GCCUUCGUAGUGCAACCGGUAGCACACUCGGCUCAUAUUCGAAAAGUUCAGGUUCGAGUCCCAGCGAGGAUU
rnacentral:tRNA from 1 species